GCCAACCCUUUGGUUAUUUAAACUCCCAUCUCCUGUACUUGCUUUCCUCAUAACCCUAACUCUAUCCACACUAGAUCUAAAUUCCGCCGUCAUCAACUAAUUGGUACAAAGAUGAGGUUUACUAGGAUCUGUCGAGCAAACCUUGAAUGGCGUCUAAUCCAGCGUCAUUUCAAGGGAAGUUGUUACUAUGACGUGUUCUUGAGCUUUAAACGGGAAGAUACCCGUAUCAUAUAUAUUCUGUCUUUCACCCAGAAUAUUUUCACACAUACAAGGAUGACGAAACGCCACUUCGUUGGUUUUUCCAAAUCCAUUGAAGACUCAAAUUUGUUCACGUUUGAGUCUUUCGAGCUUGUGAAGAUUAUGGAGUGUUCAAGACAGGAUGAUAGGAAAAAAGUUGUCAAAAAUGGGCAUGAAGCUAAAUUCAUCCAAAAAAUUUUGUUGAACGGACUUUACUCGAGUUUCGUUACAUUCUUUUGAAUGAUGUUCGCAUGAUAGGGAAGACAACUUUGGCCAAAUGAAAAAGUAUUCGAGUUAUUGGGAAGACUACUUUGGCUAGUUAUACAAUAUAUAUUAUGUUGAAAAGUAUACCGUACAAACGUUGCAAUGAUAGUUUUUCUUCAAGAAAGCAAGAGACAGACUCAAACCGGUUAAAAGAGAUCUGAAUGACCAUGGAAGACUAAGUCGUCCAUGAGGUCAAGCUCCUCGCUUUAUUGAUUUAACUCCUAUCGAAUGUAACACCAAAACAAUGUUUUGCUGAGUUUUUUUUAUCUGAAAGGAAUAUUAGUGAUGUUUCAUGUAUAGUUGUAUUAUGACUAAUAUUUGUGAAUGGAUGUUUCAAAGUAAUUUUCCUUUGGAAUGAGACCAGUUUAGUUACAAAA